UGAUUGCAGAAUUCCGCGAAUCAUCGAGUCUUUGAACGCAAGUUGCGCCCGAGGCUCGUCCGAGGGCAUUCCUGCCUGAGCGUCAU
rnacentral:rRNA from 1 species